ACUCCUACGGGAGGCAGCAGUGGGGAAUAUUGGACAAUGGGGAAACCCGUAGCAUCCAGCCAUGCCGCGUGUGUGAAGAAGGCCUUCGGGUUGUAAAGCACUUUCAGUGGGAGGAAGGUUGAUGGUUAAUACCUAUCAGCUGUGACGUUACCCACAGAAGAAGCACCGGCUAACUCCGUGCCAGCAGCCGCGGUAAUACGGAGGGUGCAAGCGUUAAUCGGAAUUACUGGGCGUAAAGCGUGCGCAGGCGGCCUGUUAAGUCAGAUGUGAAAGCCCGGGGCUUAACCUCGGAAUUGCAUUUGAAACUGGC
rnacentral:rRNA from 1 species